rnacentral:ncRNA from 1 species
UACGAACUGCCACCGGGUAGGAUAAAGAGGAUGAUCAUUCCAUUAGGUCUUUGAAGGGAUGAUUUUCCUCUUUUUGUGUAU